rnacentral:tRNA from 2 species
AAAAUGAAAUUUAUAGUAAGAGGAAAAUCCGUCGACUUUAAAAAUCGUGAG